rnacentral:rRNA from 1 species
UACUCCUACGGGAGGCAGCAGUGGGGAAUAUUGGACAAUGGGCGAAAGCCUGAUCCAGCCAUGCCGCGUGUGUGAAGAAGGUCUUCGGAUUGUAAAGCACUUUAAGUUGGGAGGAAGGGCUGUAAGCGAAUACCUUGCAGUUUUGACGUUACCGACAGAAUAAGCACCGGCUAACUUUGUG